rnacentral:miRNA from 12 species
AGCUGUAAGAGAUUCACUUAGA